rnacentral:rRNA from 1 species
AAGCCGGGAAUGGAAAGCCCGGUGCAAGCGGGGUACCAGCCACUCAGGCAAAUCCGGGUGGCAAUGGGAAGCCGUGAUGCGGAGCGAAAUAAAGUAGCGAAGUCCGUGAGCCAUGCGUCGAGAAAAGCCGCUAUUGUUUAUACCGUACCCGUACCGUAAACCGACACAGGUGGACGAGGAGAGAAUCCUAAGGCCGGCGGAAGAAGCAUUGUCAAGGAACUCGGCAAAAUGGCCCCGUAACUUAGGGAUAAGGGGUGCCCGGGAAACCAGGCCGCAGAGAAUAGGCUCAAGCAACUGUUUAGCAAAAACACAGGUCUAUGCGAAACCGAAAGGUGAGGUAUAUGGGCUGACGCCUGCCCGGUGCUGGAAGGUUAAGAGGAGAGGUUAGCGGUAACGCGAAGCUUUGAAUUUAAGCCCCAGUAAACGGCGGCCGUAACGAUAACGGUCCUAAGGUAGCGAAAUUCCUUGUCGGGUAAGUUCCGACCCGCACGAAAGGCGUAAUGAUUUGAGCGCUGUCUCGACAAUGCAUCCGGUGAAAUUGAAGUACCAGUGAAGAUGCUGGUUACCUGCGCCAGGACGGAAAGACCCCAUGGAGCUUUACUCCAGUCUGGUACUGGGACUCGGUAUUGCAUGUACAGGAUAGGUGGGAGGCUAGGAGAUGGUAACGCCAGUUGCCAUGGAGCCGCUGUUGGGAUACCACCCUUGCAGUAUUGGGUUUCUAACCAGCCGCCGCGACCCGGCGGUGGGACAAUGCCAGACGGGGAGUUUGACUGGGGCGGUCGCCUCCGAAAGGGUAUCGGAGGCGCCCAAAGGUUCCCUCAGAAUGGACGGAAACCAUUCGAAGAGUGCAAAGGCAGAAGGGAGCUUGACUGCGACACCGACGGGUGGAGCAGGUACGAAAGUAGGGCUUAGUGAUCCGGUGGUAUUAAGUGGGAAUGCUAUCGCUCAACAGAUAAAAGCUACCCUGGAUAACAGGCUUAUCACUCCCAAGAGUUCACAUCGACGGAGUGGUUUGGCACCUCGAUGUCGGCUCAUCGCAUCCUGGGGCUGUAGUAGGUCCCAAGGGUUGGGCUGUUCGCCCAUUAAAGCGGUACGCGAGCUGGGUUCAGAACGUCGUGAGACAGUUCGGUCCCUAUCCGGCGUGGGCGUAGGAUAUCUGAGAGGAGCUGUCCUUAGUACGAGAGGACCGGGAUGGACGGGCCGCUGGUGCAUCGGUUAGACUGCCAAGUCUACGGCCGAGUAGCCAAGCCCGGAAGGGAUAAACGCUGAAGGCAUCUAAGCGUGAAGCCCCCCUUAAGAUGAGAUAUCCCAUUCGAAAGAAGUAAACCCCCUUGAAGACGACGAGGUAGAUAGGGCAGAGGUGGAAGUGCAGCAAUGCAUGGAGCUGACUGUUACUAAUCGGGUGAGGGCUUGACCG